UCUCGUCUAGCUUAUUUUUAAAGCACUAGUUUGAAGAGCUGGGGAAAUAAUUGUUUAUGGGGGAGAG
rnacentral:tRNA from 1 species